CACCGCGGUUAUACGAGAGGCUCAAGUUGAUAGAUCGCGGCGUAAAGCGUGGUUAAGGAAUAUUUUGAAACUAAAGCCGAAUGCCCUCAGAGCUGUUAUACGCUCCCGAUGGUUAGAAGCCCAAUUACGAAAGUAGCUUUACACAGCCUGAACCCACGAAAGCUAUGGCA
rnacentral:rRNA from 1 species